CUCUCGAGAUCAGAAACCUGAAAUCAAGAUGUUUAUAGGGCUAUGCUCUCUCCAGAGGCUCCAGAGGAAGGCCUUAUUCCUUAUAGAAUGGCACCUCAGACAGCUGCCUGGAUGAACCUCCCAUUAAUCCAACUCUGUUCCUAUUCUAAAAGAAGAUUAAAAGCUCGUCGCCUAUAGAUGAAUGAUUCGGCAUUAAAUCAGUGAAGACUCCUGCCUACCCUUUCAUCUAUGAGAUUUUUCUGUUCACCUCCGACAGAGCAUAGAGCUGGAAAAGAACAUCAUUGGGACAUUCUAUAUGCUGCAUGUGGUUUCCAUAUAUCAUACAUCAAUCAUCUCAACCUGCUCCUGCUUCAAGUCAAAGGUUAGCAGAAGGAACAACCAAGAAAGAAGAGAUGAUGGCCUACACUUGAGAUCCAGUUAGCUUCAGGAAAACACUUCUAUUCUGAUGAGCAUCUACUUCCUAAUAAUAAACAACAAUAAGUUCUUCCUGCUUGAAAGUGUGUCUUGAGAGAAAAUAGAGUAGCAAAAGUAUUUGAUACUUGAUAUAUCAAAGAAUUAAGGGACAUUUUAGAUACCUGUUGUUGGGACAGGCCCUAAAUGGCUGUAGUUAGGCUCCCUUACCUAGGCUUCUGAUGGGCUGUUAUGGUUUUAGUGUGUAGUCAGGGCUGGGAACUGGCUAUAUUAUGGUUAAUCAAGGCCAGAAACACUCUGAUUCAGAGUGUAUACUCAAGGUCAUAAACAUUAACUUUUGAGCAUGCUCCCCCUUUUGUAACCCCUUGACAGUGUGACUUCUUUGUUUAGCCUGCAUAUAAAAAGGGCCCAUGGCAAAAAACAAAAGGGCUAAAGGGGACACAACAGGGCAAAAUGAGAACUAAAAUGGAACUGGCUGGGGGCUGAAGCUGAAGCUGGAGGCUGAAGGCUGUGGCCACCAC